CUCCCCCCCCCCCCGGGUCGCCUUUGCUGGGGCUCCGUGUUGUUUUAGCUCGUCUUGUGCUUUUGGGUUGUAAUUUGGCCGUGGGUAGGUAAUUGGCUGGUUAAAGGCACCAGGCCGCCGCAGCCAAUCAGCGCGCAGCUUCCAUUGGGCUUGAGUUAUUAGACGCUGAUCUAAAAACAUCCUUCAGCAGACAGCAAAGGAGAGGCCAACAGAUCUGGCAGCCAUUUUUCUGCAAUGGAAUUAAAUGGCCAACUGGGUUUUCCUUUGUUCCAAAAGGGGAUACUUGAUUUGAAUGAAUCCACAACAUCCAUUUCAGGACUCUGCUCUCAGUGUUUGUGUUAAUGUCUGACAACAUUUAGAGGACUCAAAGGAAGAAGGAAGACUUUAAAAAAAGAUCUGGAUUUUUCCCUUUGAUUUGGAACCCAUCUUUGCCUUGUAUAUAACUAGGUCAUGGCACGCCCUUAAGUCAGCAGUAACAAUUUUGAGUUGCAAAAAAAGUAAAUACAUUGUUUUUUGUAGAGGGGUUGUGUUUAUUUUUAAAGGUUUUUCUUGAUCUGCCUGAGCAAUACAGGUUUUCUUUAAAAAAUAGUUUCCUGUAUGAAACACUAAAAUACCUGGCCAUCUUUUAAGUUAAAACCUUUCGUGCCAAGAAGGUAAUGUUUUAAAUAUAGAUGUAGGAAACGUGAAUUCUUGUAAAAAUUGUUAGGAUAAAGCUUUUCUUUUUUUUCUUUUUACAUUGUAAGUACCCAAUCCAUUCUGUCCUUUUUAAUAAGUGUAGUUUUCAUGUUAAUGUUACUGGAGUUCUCCUUAUAUAUAUAUUUCCAGCCUUCAUCUGCAUGUCAUUUUUUGUCUUGUUUAUCUAAACCAGUUGCUUCUGAAAUACUAUUUAGAGUUUUAAAAAUUAGCAAGAGAUGCUUAAAAUGUUUACAUAAAGUAACUAUUAACCAGGUGUAUUCACACUAACAUGUACAGAUUUAAAAAUAUUUGAGAUCAUGUAUGGUGGGUGGAAAUACCCGGUCUCCUUUUUAUAUGCAGAGUAAAUAUCACAGGAAUUUAGAUUUAUGCCUAGGAGUAAACAAAUUUCACGACUUAAGGUCAAAAGAAGUGGAUGUUUUCUAACAGUCUUUUUCUUUCUCUGGUCAAAGCCGUAGGUGACUCUAAAUGUCUAAUGAGAUUUUGAUUUGUAAACUCAAGAUAGAGAAAUGAUGAUACAGAACAUAAAUCUAUAUUUAGGAAUAGCUUUUUUAAAAAAAUCCCUUCAACGUCACCUUCAGAACUGCAUUCAACUAUGGUCUGUAGGAAGGGUGAGAUCGGCGCUGAUGGCGGAGGAGGAGGAGCUGACAAGGGAGUACGUGGCCUGUUCUGGGAAGAGAGAGGGCUUUCUGAUGGCGUCUCUCGGCCUCUUUGCAGCAGGGAGGGCUGCCCAGCCCGCCAGCCCGCCCGAUUUCGUUUUCAAUGCCUUUCUUUGUCUGGAGGAUUCCUCAGCAAUGCAGCCCCCUGGAACAUAAUGAGUGGGUGUUGCUUAGCCCAGACAGCCACAGCUCUGGAGUGCCUGCAGAUUUGAGCUGACACCCCUGGCCGUAGAUCCUGAGUUUCUUCACUGCAUUGUUAUCCAUCCUGGGCAUAGAAAUGGCCGCCUCUUCAGGCAAUGCAGACAAGCGAGCUGGAGACGCCUCUGGCCUUGACCUCCUUUCAGGAUUCCGUCAAUGCAGCCUCUUGGAGAGGUUGACAGCUUUUCACCUCUGUGGGGAUUGGCACUAGAAACUAGCACUGUGUUGCCUAUUUGGGGGGUAAGAGUUGAACGUCUUGAUCUUAGAGAGCAGAGGCAUCAAGGAGGAAUGGCUAUUGGAUGCUGCUGUCCCCUUCGCCACUAUUAUGGAUGGCAUCCAAACGUUUGGCUUGUACAUCCCCCCCCCCCCUCGUUGCUAGCUUCUUGCAAAACAACAACACAAUCUGCAUGAGGCCAUGGGUGUUGUCUCUGUGCGGGGCGGGAAGGCAUUCCAUUCCGCCACCACAUGCCAACAUUAGUUCAGGCGGUCAGACCUGUUUUUAAGCAGCAGAUCCAAGGAGUCAACCAAACUGGCCGAGGAACUGAUUGCCUGUUAGCUGUUGGACAAUGUCAUGCUCUGGUCUCUCAGAGGAAAGGGGGUAAAUGGCUGCUUAAAUAAGCAGCUUGCUGAGACGUAUGACUUGCAGUGGGGAUAGAACCUGAAGCGCAGUUUAUGGCGAGGAAGUUCUGUUGAAGUGUGCCAGAGUUGCUUUUGAGCAAAUAAGCGUAUGAUCACAUUGCACAUUAUUUUCUCUAGCCUUCAUAGAUAAUGUGAGAAGAAUGGCUGUUUUGCAAGAAGUCUGAGCUAGGUAUGUUGAAACUCCGAUGAACAAACGUAUCCCUCAGUUACCAUUAUUACCUUCUGGAAUCGGGGCUUGGUUGUGUACAUUGUGUAAAAGUAUGUGUAUGUGCUUUCUCUCUCUUUAAGUGCCCAGGCUGCUAGUACUUAGAAGACCUGUUGGAAAAUGUCGUCCUGUAGACUUUGCUCUUUAAGAAGCUGAUGUGGCAACACACCCGGUCGGGCCAGUCCUUCUGUGGUUGUUUGCUGGUUUGAUGCUCUUACAUUCCUUUUCAAUGAGUAUAAAAGAGGCAAGAGCAGGUGCUGUAGUGGAGGCUGUUUUGACCUUCCCCGGUUCACUGUGUAUAUCCUCCUCACCCUGUUCUUUUUCUAGUCAGGAUAAUAUAAUACUUUGACCCUCCUCUGCCUUGCAUUGGUCAAGACUUCUGUGGGUUCAAGAUUUUCCCCUCCUAGAAAUCAAAAAACUGUAGGUGCUUGGGCACUUUAUGCGAUCAAUAUUUUUUAGAAGACAAGCCCUGUAAAGUAGACAUACUGUUUUCAUAUUGCAGCUGUGUGAAGCUGAGAGAAUAGUAUGCCACAUAACAGCAUAGGGAUUUUCCAGCCUUCAGACUGAACGUCUAAGCUCCCAGCUCUUAUGCCGUAGACUCAGCAGCCCUUCUGUUGAUCUGCUUAGAAUGAGAGAACAGGCCAAUAAAAUGAACUGGCAGAAAUCUUCUCAGCUGCAGGAAAUGAAAUCUCUCUGUCACAUGCAGAAGUUGAGUGUGAAAUACUGCAAAAUCACUGUAAUAUAAUAAAAACAUCUUUUUGGACUCUUCCAGUAUAUUUGCUGUUAAUGUUUCUUAGUAAGGACCCAUGUAAUAUGUGUUUAAAGGAGCCAAUUUUUUCCUAAUAAGAUGCUCUAACUGUACUGAAUUUCUGGUAAUCUUUUAAGAUUUAAAAAACUCUCUUGGAAGAGGCUUGCACGCUUUGAUAAUCUAAUAGAAUUUGGUACUUUUGUCUGUUAAUAUUUUGUUUUGCCAGUCAGGUUGCACCUGACCUGUGCUGACCCCGUAGGGUUUUCAAGGCAAGAGGCUAACCGAGGUGGUUUGCCAUUGCUUGGCUGUGUGUAGCAAUUCUGGUAUUCCUUGGUGGUCUCCCAUCCAACUAGCUUGCUUGGUUUCCAAGAUCUAAUGAGAUUGGGCUAGCCUGAGCUAUCCAGGUCACAGAGUGAAGGAAUUCUAUCCUCUUUAUGUAUCAUGUCUGUGGUAAAUAGCUUUAAUUUCAGCAUUUAACACUUUUCCAUGUUUCAAACCGUGUCAGUUUAUAAAAAGUGAAUAUUUAGGUAGCUAGUUACUGACUAGAGCUCUUUAGGCUUCCCCUUUUUCAGCGCUGCUGUCCAGAUGCUUAUCCCCUUUAUGCUGCAGCCAUGUGGUAGUUUUGUUUAAUUUGUGCUCUUAAACCAGAAACUUGCUUCCUCAGUAUCACUUUGUAAAGUAUAAAUGCUUAAUUGCACCACUGAUUAGCUGUAUUCAAAAACUUUGGGGCUUACUCCAAGUCUGAACCUUAUCACAUCUUCAGCUGCAUUGCUCAGGCACGUGAGUAAUGCCAUCAGAUCCAAUGGAACUUUUCCGUAAUAAGUGAUUUGAGGUUUUCAGUCACAAAUAUGGCACAAUUCAGGGCACAAUGCCCCCAGUGGAUCCCAUGGCAAAUUGAAGGUAGUUAGAGCAUGCCUUUCUCGGCCCAGCCAUUUCUCCCACUCCUAUAUGUCCUGUUCUCCCUUUAUUUGUGAGGUUGAAAUCUUAAUAGAAAUGCUGUUUUGCCUGAGCCUUGAGACUUUCUUUGGGUGUGCCUGCCCACUGCAGCUGGGUUUGUUUCUGUAAACUUUAAAAGCCCAAGUGUUUUACACUGAAAUCAUUUGCAUAGUGUAUUUUUUGUAGGUAACUGUUGUACUCUAAUCUGGCAAUUUUCUAGUCACAGGCCUGUAUGUCAGGUAUUGUGGGUUAAGUUGCUUGCAUGUCUAUGAGAAGUGCCAGCUGGUUUUUCUUUUAAUGUAACUUAGGUAGUGCUUUAGUGAAAACUGACUUUGUUUUGUUGCUUGCCUUUGCAGAGGAAACCCCCUGCCAGGUAGGCUACAGCAGAUAGGUUUCCCUCCAGAUCUAAUUUCUUUACCUGGCAUGCAGUAAGUUGAGUUCUGGUCCCCCAGAGUCAGACCACUAUUUUAUUACACUUGCAGCAAUGAAACUUCUGAUGCUGAUAAUGGCUUGCAACACUGACUUCAUGAACCAGUUUCAGCAAGGGAAAGGGAAGUUUCCCAACAGGGCUUGGGUUAAAAUCACGUAAAACUGCAAAUAGAUCUGAGGAGACAAGCAAGCUAAAAAAAGGAGCCCUGAAAGUUGUAUAUGGAACUAUCAGCGAACUGGAAGAAGUUUUCUGGAGGUGGAGAAUGAUGAGGCUUGAGGAAACGGACAGGAGUGAUAAGGGGGUUGAGGCAAGAAGGAGCUUGUCAGUGAUGGAGAAGGUUUCUGAGAUCUGACAAAACCUGGCUAGUCUGAGCUAUCCAGAUCAGGAUGCAAAAUAUUCAAGACUACAUUGCAGUUAUUCCACAGUAACUAACAAGAACACCAGUUAUAAUUUGGGCCACACUACUCUUGGAAGAUUACUGGCUACCUAAAUACAGACUGCCACCCAGAAGCCCUUCAAAAAGUUAAAAGCAUGGUGGAAAAUCUUGCAUAAACUUCUAUGUAUUAGUAAGGCUAUGAAAUAGUGAAAACAACAGCUUGCUGUUAACACUGCUGUAAAAACAGUUUGCUUAUGACAUGUAGAAGAUAAAUGAGGAAGUCAUGUAUGCCAGAUUGCUUAAUGUUUGUUACAGGCACAAAGGAAGCUCUUAAAUACACUUAAUGAUUGCCCUGGCCUACUUCCUCACUGUGCUUUGUUAGGACUACCCUGGAGUAAGUGGAUCAGACAUGACGUUGAAAUGGACAUAUUGGUGUAUGUGGAGUACAACUGCAUUUUCAGGUCUGGCUUUAAGUGUUAAGGUUCUCAGCAUUCAAGGGUUUUAGGUUUUAUAGUGGAAGUAGCACUUGCCUAACUUGUGUCCAGAUCGAGCCACAUGUUUCAGAGCAGAGACUGCCAGUUGAAGAAACAAAUAAUCUAAUCUCUUUCAGUAUGCUGGUUUAGUAAUACAACUAAAACAUCAUAACUAGAGACUUUUGACAUAGCUUUUGACAAUCUAAUAUCCAUCUAAUACAAAUGUGUGAGGUACCAGAAAAAAUAUUACAGAAAAAAAACCUGCAGUCUGUAGCUAGCCUUGGACUCUGAGGAAGAGGGAAGAUCUUAAGUCUAAGUCUGGUAUCUGUGUUUCUUACUGGGGAAGUUCAUUAACGGUUGAUAAUUGAAUCAGUGUUUGUGUUCUACAUGGAGGUCAGAGCAACAGCUGUGACAGGCUGCCUCUCAGAUGCCCUUCAAUAAGUUGGCAAGUAAAACUGAAUGGAGUAUAACUUCCCAGGCUCAUUCAAUUUUCUUUCUACCCCUACCUUUUUCUAAUAUUCUGUGUGGCUAAUUGGAGAUAACUCUAAAGAUUCACACAGGCUGUUAUUCCCGCUAACUGUAUGAUGUAUUUCCACUAAUUGUAUGAAGGGGUGAUCAGCAUUCUGGACUUUCACUUCUGCUGAAAGCGCCAGUCAUCACAAUUCAUACCAAGUUGUCCUGAAGAGGAAAAGCUGAAAGAACAGGGUGGGAUAAACCCCAUAAGCAGUAGCCCAGAACUAGUCGUCUCUCAGAUUAUUGCAACUGGCCUAUUGUCACGAGGAUCUUUUUGUAUCUAUUGAACAACUUCUAUUACUUUUUGGAUAUAUAUAAUAUAGGGGAGAACAGUGUACAAUUUGAUAUGAUCAUCAGGACUUCCUGGCAAAUAGUAAUCAAAUCUACAAGUAUUGUAGCAGUGGGGGUUUAAUUUAUAAAAAGAAGAUAAAGUUUGCCUGUACUUACCACUUCUCUGUGUAGCGUUGGACCAAAACAUGUUACUGGUACUUUGGAAGUGCUUCAAAACAGUCAAGGUGGGGAGAGAAGAUAGAUUUUAAUGAAAGUGUGAUUUUUGAAUUGCUCCUGUCUAUAGUUAAACUCAUUCAAGAUUUAAAUUAAGAGACUUGCUUUUGUCUUGCGUUUACAUAGACUAUUGUUAUCUAUAACAAACCCACAGGAUGACAUAACGUAUAAACUGAUGAAACUCUGUGAAAUUACAUUGCUGUAAAUAUGGGGGACCGUUCGUCUUGUGAAAUUAACAUUUACAGUAUUGAAGACUCCAGCUCUAGUACUGAACACAGGAAGCAGAAUAUGCUGAAUUCUAAUAAAAAUGCUCCAUCAAACUUUCUACUUUCAUGUUUUUAGAUAGCUACUAUGGAAAGUGUCAAAGUAAAAAAAAUGUAGUACCUGUUCUAGCUACAGUACAGGCCAAACAAGGAUAUUUUUUUUUGUAUUUCUAGGCCUGAUUUAUUCUUUUUACAGAGGAUGCCAAAGAAGUUGAAACCAACGUUGUACUCCAGUUUGUAGUCAUAAGUGGGGAAUAAGUGAAUGUUGCUUCCGAACAUACCUAGGACUGAGCUGUACAAUUACAAUAUGAAAAGUGGUUGGUAGGAAACUUUUUACAAAUAGGUAAAUUGGACUUACAAAUUGGACUUGCCUAACGUUCUAUAAAAAGUGUUGCAGAUUCACUAUGUGCUUUACAAAUAGUUGCUUUGUAAGACCAUUAAAUAAACCCUGCACUAACUUCAGAGGAGUAUGACAGAUGCCAUUUUCAAGGAUUUUAAAGAUGGGCAGAAGCCCAAUCAUACCUGCAUUCAUAUUUUGCAUGGAUUUUCUAUCAAAGGUCACAUUAGGGAAUUCUGAGCCUGCAGAUGUCACUGAUACUGGUUUAAGGAGAAGCAGGAUGUUGUGGCCAAGCACACCAACCACUGUCAAGCUGGAACUGAACAAUGCCUUUUCAUUUAUUGUAAAGCUGGUAGUACUGAAAAAGCUUCAAAUUUCUGCAACACAUGCUGCUAUUAAGAAAAAUUAAAACUGUUCAGUUGCAAAA